CUUAAUCUAGUGUCUUCUUCCAUCCUCCAUUUUGUAGAAUACCGCCAGCAACUGUUAACUGUCCUGCCGAAGGGCAUUUUAACUGACAGGAAACAGCAGUGAAUUCUACCUGCAGAUGACAGGUGAAAUGAACGGAGUACAGAGAGAAUGUGGUCCUGCUCUACCAAUCCCUUGAGCCACCAUCUGAGCAUCACCUGGAAGGAUCUGUAGCAUCGGAGCAUCCAGCAGGUCACACUUGGAGUCCAGAGUCUCCUCUCCAUCACUGAUGAUGGAUCUGUCUUAAACAGUGCACGUCACAUCACUUUGGUGGUUAUAACCUCAGAUUCCUGGAGACGCACACUCAUUGAUUCGGACACUGAAGUUGAUAGACACAUAUUCUUAAUUUUUGGUCUGCGUCUUAAGAAAGAUUUUAAGAAGCCUUAAAUGAGUAAGUAUUCCACUUUUUUGCUUAUAGACCUAUGUAUAGGCUGGGGACCACAUUUAUAAUGUAGACUAACUCAACUCUCUCCUGCUUUAAUUUUCUGAUAGUUACUUUCAUGUCUUCCUGGGAAUGCACUUAGGUUCCAUGAGCUAGGGAUAUGUUGCUGGGUUUCUACCCACUCUAGACUAUGCUGCACAUGCACAAAGCCUUCUGUCCUUCCAGGAUAUAUAGAGAAAUUAUCAAGCCUCAUGCGACCCACCUGUCCUUCUAGAAAUCCCUGCUAACACCACAAGCUAAUUUGUGAGUCCAUAGCAACAACACUUCAAAUCAAGUAAUCUCCUAUACCCCUUGCAGUGGCAUAGAGAAUGCUGAUUUUCAUGGCCUGCUCCACCCCGAUUGAACCAUCACACUGGGAAACCAGAAGCAGUUCUAGGAAAGAAUGUCAUAGAUUCUUAUUGUUCAUAUUUG
rnacentral:lncRNA from 12 species